GCUGAUGCUGGUAACCCUGUCAUAGCAAUGGGAUGUGAUUCUUGAAUACAAAGUACUGAUGGAGAAGAUAAAAGAAUACAACAAAAAGGAUGCUAAAUUUUAUGGAAAUAUGUUUGCCAAGAUGACUAAAUCAUCAUCCAAUAAAGCAAAGGAAGCAGAACCAAUGACCCGCUUCAUUUUUAGUAACGUUUAUUUAACCAUACGUAUUGACCCAUGACUCACCAUGCCGCUUAAGUUUUGAACCAUGAGUUUCUUACCAAAAAAUGCUCAUUUGACCCGGUUCUGUUUUGAGCCAUGACUCAACAUGUUGCUUUUACUGCCUCUAGCAAAAUUUCAUCAGCAAUAUACACAUUACUUUUUAAUUGAGUCUUAAAUCAUAAGUAGAUAAUAG